UCCGAUAUGGUGUAGUGGCUAACAUUAUCGCCUCUCACGCGAUAGCCUGGGGUUCGAUUCCCCGUGUCGGAA
rnacentral:tRNA from 1 species